rnacentral:rRNA from 1 species
UGGGGGAUAUUGCACAAUGGGCGAAAGCCUGAUGCAGCGACGCCGCGUGGGGGAUGAAGGCCUUCGGGUCGUAAACUUCUUUUGCUCUGAACAAGGCGCACCAUGGGGUGUGUUGAGUGUAGGGGUUGAUUAGCGCCGGCUAACUACGUGCCAGCAGCCGCGGUAAUACGUAGGGCGCGAGCGUUGUCCGGAAUUAUUGGGCGUAAAGGGCUUGUAGGUGGCUGGUUGCGUCUGUCGUGAAAGCUCAUGGCUUAACUGUGGGUUUGCGGUGGGUACGGGCUGGCUUGAGUGCAGUAGGGGAGGCUGGAAUUCCUGGUGUAGCGGUGGAAUGCGCAGAUAUCAGGAGGAAUACCGGUGGCGAAGGCGGGUCUCUGGGCUGUUACUGACACUGAGGAGCGAAAGCAUGGGGAGCGAACAGG